rnacentral:rRNA from 1 species
UACGAAGGUCCCUAGUGUUGUUCGGAAUUAUUGGGCGUAAAGCGCUUGAUAGGUGGCUUUGCAAGUUGGGUGUGAAAGCCCCGGGCUCAACCCGGGGAAGUGCACUCAAAACUGCUUUAGCUUGAGUACGGUAGAGGUGAGUGGAAUACAUGGUGUAGUGGUGAAAUACGUAGAUAUCAUGUGGAACAUCAGUGGCGAAGGCGGCUCACUGGACCAGUACUGACACUGAGAAGCGAAAGGCAUGGGGGAUCAAACAGG